rnacentral:rRNA from 1 species
AGCGAACGCUGGCGGCAGGCCUAACACAUGCAAGUCGAACGAAGUCUUCGGACUUAGUGGCGGACGGGUGAGUAACACGUGGGAACGUACCUUUUGGUUCGGAACAACUCAGGGAAACUUGAGCUAAUACCGGAUGAGCCCUUAGGGGGAAAGAUUUAUCGCCGAAAGAGCGGCCCGCGUUAGAUUAGCUAGUUGGUGAGGUAAAGGCUCACCAAGGCUACGAUCAAUAGCUGGUCUGAGAGGAUGAUCAGCCACACUGGGACUGAGACACGGCCCAGACUCCUGCGGGAGGCAGCAGUGGGGAAUCUUGCGCAAUGGGCGAAAGCCUGACGCAGCCAUGCCGCGUGAAUGAUGAAGGUCUUAGGAUUGUAAAAUUCUUUUACCAGGGACGAUAAUGACGGUACCUGGAGAAAAAGCCCCGGCUAACUUCGUGCCAGCCGCCGCAGUAACAC